rnacentral:rRNA from 1 species
GGCAAGUCUGGUGCCAGCAGCCGCGGUAAUUCCAGCUCCAAUAGCGUAUAUUAACGUUGUUGCAGUUAAAAAGCUCGUAGUUGAAGUGAGGGAGUGUGUGUUCAUGAGAGCUAGUCUCGAGUGUUCACAACCUCCCCCCUCCAAUCGGUGUAGUGGGGUAUUCAGUUAUUUCACUACUCCUUUGGUCGUUUACUGUGAGAAAAUUAGAGUGUUCAAAGCGGGCGUUUGUUUGAAUAGAUUAGCAUGGAAUAAUGAUUGAAGGCUUUCGUGUUCGAUUUGAUUGGUUUGUUCAUGGAAGCAAGGUUAAAAGGAACAGUUGGGGGUAUUCAUAUUCACUAGUUAGAGGUGAAAUUCUCGGAUUUAUGGAAGAUGAACAAGUGCGAA